rnacentral:rRNA from 1 species
CUUUUUCUGCAGGUACCGUCACUUUCGCUUCUUCCCUGCUAAAAGAGGUUUACAACCCGAAGGCCGUCGUCCCUCACGCGGCGUUGCUGCAUCAGGCUUUCGCCCAUUGUGCAAUAUUCCCCACUGCUGCCUCCCGUAGGAGUCUGGGCCGUGUCUCAGUCCCAGUGUGGCCGGUCACCCUCUCAGGCCGGCUACCCGUCGACGCCUUGGUGAGCCAUUACCUCACCAACAAGCUGAUAGGCCGCGAGCUCAUCCCUGACCGAAAUUCUUUCCAAACGUCGACCAUGCGGUCACGUCUCGUAUCCGGUAUUAGCAGCUGUUUCCAACUGUUAUCCCAGAGUCAGGGGCAGAUUGCUCACGUGUUACUCACCCGUUCGCCACUGAUCC